UACGAAGGGGGCGAGCGUUGUUCGGAAUUACUGGGCGUAAAGGGCGCGCAGGCGGCUCUGAAAGUCAGAUGUGAAAGCCCCGGGCUUAACCUGGGAAUUGCAUUUGAUACUCUGGAGCUUGAGUACGGGAGAGGAGAGUGGAAUUCCCAGUGUAGAGGUGAAAUUCGUAGAUAUUGGGAAGAACACCGGUGGCGAAGGCGGCUCACUGGUCCAUUACUGACGCUGAGGUGCGAAAGCGUGGGGAGCAAACAGG
rnacentral:rRNA from 1 species